GAUGAACGCUGGCGGCGUGCUUAACACAUGCAAGUCGAACGAAGCACUUUAUUUGAUUUCCUUCGGGACUGAUUAUUUUGUGACUGAGUGGCGGACGGGUGAGUAACGCGUGGGUAACCUGCCUUGUACAGGGGGAUAACAGUUGGAAACGGCUGCUAAUACCGCAUAAGCGCACGGCAUCGCAUGAUGCAGUGUGAAAAACUCCGGUGGUAUAAGAUGGACCCGCGUUGGAUUAGCUAGUUGGUGAGGUAACGGCCCACCAAGGCGACGAUCCAUAGCCGACCUGAGAGGGUGACCGGCCACAUUGGGACUGAGACACGGCCCAAACUCCUACGGGAGGCAGCAGUGGGGAAUAUUGCACAAUGGGCGAAAGCCUGAUGCAGCGACGCCGCGUGAGCGAAGAAGUAUUUCGGUAUGUAAAGCUCUAUCAGCAGGGAAGAUAAUGACAGUACCUGACGAAGAAGCACCGGCUAAAUACGUG
rnacentral:rRNA from 1 species